UACAGGGGGGGCAAGCGUUGUUCGGAAUUACUGGGCGUAAAGGGCUCGUAGGCGGCCAACUAAGUCGGAUGUGAAAUCCCCAGGCUCAACCUGGGAACUGCAUCCGAUACUGGAUGGCUUGAAUUCGGGAGAGGGAUGCAGAAUUCCAGGUGUAGCGGUGAAAUGCGUAGAUAUCUGGAGGAAUACCGGUGGCGAAGGCGGCAUCCUGGACCGACAUUGACGCUGAGGAGCGAAAGCCAGGGGAGCAAAGCGGG
rnacentral:rRNA from 1 species